rnacentral:tRNA from 1 species
GGGGCUGUAGCUCAGUGGCAGAGCACUUGCCUAGCAUGUAUGAGGCACUGGGUUCAAUCCUCAGCACCACA